rnacentral:rRNA from 1 species
AGUGAACGCUGGCGGUAGGCCUAACACAUGCAAGUCGAACGGCAGCACAGUAAGAGCUUGCUCUUACGGUUGGCGAGUGGCGGACGGGUGAGGAAUACAUCGGAAUCUACUUUUUCGUGGGGGAUAACGUAGGGAAACUUACGCUAAUACCGCAUACGACCUACGGGUGAAAGCAGGGGAUCUUCGGACCUUGCGCGAUUGAAUGAGCCGAUGUCGGAUUAGCUAGUUGGCGGGGUAAAGGCCCACCAAGGCGACGAUCCGUAGCUGGUCUGAGAGGAUGAUCAGCCACACUGGAACUGAGACACGGUCCAGACUCCUACGGGAGGCAGCAGUGGGGAAUAUUGGACAAUGGGCGCAAGCCUGAUCCAGCCAUACCGCGUGGGUGAAGAAGGCCUUCGGGUUGUAAAGCCCUUUUGUUGGGAAAGAAAAUCAGCAGGUUAAUACCCCGCUGUUCUGACGGUACCCAAAGAAUAAGCACCGGCUAACUUCGUG